rnacentral:lncRNA from 10 species
AUAACUAACUUCCUUCCUUCCUGCCUUCCUCCCUCCCUGCCUUCCCUUCCUUCCUGCCUUCCUUCUUCCUUCCUCCCUUUUUUCUUUUCUCCCUUCCUUCCUUCUUAAUAUGUUUUUGGCCUUUUCUUUAUAUAUGUGGCCUAGCAAUAUCCUGUGUUUGGAAAAGUAUAAACCUAAGGCAUCACCUUUACAGAAAAUAUCUUCCACGGAAACAUCUAAAGUGAGGAAGUAAAGUUGCAUUCACAGGCCUUGAACUUUUCCACAUCUCGAUUUUUACCCAUCAUCUCUGCAUAGUUCCCUAAGGCAGCCUUCAAAUGGUGAUGUUUCUUAUAAUCCAGAGUUCAGAAGUGGCUUCUCUUCAAUCUUUCUGUGGAAUUCUAAACCACGUGAUAAAGGAGCUGGUGGCCACAGAUCAGCCCUGGGGUUCAGAGGGAUCCUGACAGCUACUCCUCAAGAUCCUCUCUGUUGUGAUUCAUCCCCCCGGGGCCCUACAGUUUCUCCUUCCUGACUCUUACAUUUCUUUGGAUGGCAUCAUUAUUUACCUGUCUCCUCCCAUAGUUAGGUGCCAAGCACUGUGGAUUCUGCCUCUCAGUGUCCAGACACCCAUUUUCCUUCCCACUGUUCCUUCCCCAUGGAGAAGCCUGUGGCUGGCUGACAGCAGAGAGAGAUGCUCAACUUGGAGAAGGUGUUACCUGGGCCAGGUGGGGAAGGUUUGUUUGCAGAGCAAAGAAGUGAAGGAAGUAUUAACCCUUUGCAUGGCCUCCUGAGAAUCCGACAAGACGUAAAUAGCCAAGAAUAUCUGUGAAACUUCAUCACUGAGUUACAAUAUUUAUCACUGCAAGUGUG